rnacentral:tRNA from 1 species
UCCCUGGUGGUCCAGUGGUUAGGACUCUGUGCUUCCACUGCAGGGGGCCUGGGUUCAGUCCCUGGUGGGGGAA